rnacentral:lncRNA from 1 species
UCUAAAAGAUGAAAAUCAAUCUCUUAUCAAAGAAAAGCUAAAACUAUCUAAUGACUAUGAAACAUUAAGUAGGAGAUUCACCAAUGAAACCAAAAGUCAAAUUGCUGAAAAUGUCAAGUUAAAAGAAGAUGCAGAAAAAUACAAAUCCUUAGUGGACAAGUUUACACUUAGCUCAACUAAAUUAAAUAUGAUUCUUGAUAGUCAAAAAGCUGUAUAUGAUAAAGCUGGGUUAGGAUA